UAAAUAGUAACUAUAACUUUGGUUGUAGAUUUUACUUCUUAGAGGGACUAUAGACUUUUAGUCUAUGGAAGUUUGAGGCAAUAACAGGUCUGUGAUGCCCUUAGAUGUUCUGGGCCGCACGCGCGCUACACUGAUAAAGGCAACAAGUAUUAUACCUUGGCUGGAAAGUCUG
rnacentral:rRNA from 1 species